rnacentral:rRNA from 1 species
CCCUUAGAUGUCCUGGGCCGCACGCGCGCUACACUGACGGAGCCAGCGAGCUUACCCCUUUGCCGAAAGGCAUGGGAAAUCUUUUGAAUCUCCGUCGUGCUGGGGAUAGAUCAUUGCAAUUAUUGAUCUUGAACGAGGAAUUCCUAGUAAGCGCAAGUCAUCAACUUGCGUUGAUUACGUCCCUGCCCUUUGUACACACCGCCCGUCGCUACUACCGAUUGAAUGGUUUAGUGAGGCCUUCGGAUCCGCGACUCGUUUUGUGGAGAAGUUGGACAAACUCAGUCAUUUAGAGGAAGUAAAAGUCGUAACA